AGUAACUUGAAAUAGAAGAGUCCAUGGUUAACAUGCUGAGAAACUAAUCCAGAAUGGAUUUGAGAUCACAUUCAGAACAUCCUCUCCUAUAUUGGCUGGCAGACUCAAUGGACUGGAACAAACUCUGCAGUGGACUUAGGUCUUUGAUUCCUUUGAGAAAAUGUGCACCUGGAAUCUACCCAGGGCUUUCACAAUGGGCUGAACCAGCUCCUCCAGACUCUGGGAAAGUUCAGACCCACAUUCCCACUCGCUGGCUCGGAACCAUCUGAGCUUUGAUCUUGUAUAUAUUUCAUCAAGUUGCACAUCACUGGCUCCCAAUUGUGGCUCAGGCUGAUUGCAUCAUUUAAGAAAAGUGCUACAGGAGGCGUGGGGAAAACAACCAUUUUUGGUCCACGCUCUCUACAAAUACAUGCAACAACAACAAAAGGAAAAGAGAAAGAGUGAGCCAUUUUUAACCAAACUGUAUUGCUGCAAGGGUGAAAAGCUUAACCCCAACAUGACAUCAUAAGAUUUACUCAUUCUUUGGGCCCAGACAGAAGUUAUGGGCCCAAAGAGGGGAUUUCCCAAUGAAAUUCUGUGGCUUGUGUUAUGCAGGAAGUAAGCCUCUAUGAGUCUUAAUGGUCACUGAAAGCUAUAAACGCAACUCAGCAUACUUGCAGGAUACGUAGGAGCUUCACUGAGAAGGCCACUCCAACCUACAGCCCAGCAGCUGGAUAAUUUCCAUUGGCCUCACAAUUGCUUGAGUGAAAGUCAAGACAAGGUCUCCUGAUUCCUGCCUCAAACUGAUUCUAGUUUGAUAUUUCCAACAACAUAUUUGUUUGGUUCUCUCCAUGAGCUCUGCCUGAAUUCUAGUGAUUUGGAAAAAUGAGCUGGAACAAAUGGCCCAGCUUUGGAGCGUUUCGUAAGUAACAAUAUUACAAAUAGGAACAGUUUUUCAUGCCUGGAGAAGCGUUGGCACCAUAAGAGAUCUUUGAGCAAAUUUGCCCUCUAUCUGUUCAGGACAUUGUGAUUAUUUUUCAUGGGACUCCAGUCAAAUCCUCUAAAUUGCCCAGUCAACUUGGACUUGAUCUCAACAGAAAAGAAAUAAAGAAAAAGAAAUAAUAAGAAAAAAACCACCUCAAAUCCAUUACGUUUUAAAAUCAAAAUAUUUCACAAUUUGAAGUGAAAAGAGGGAAAAUGAGUUCAAAGCAGUGUUUCUUAGAACCAGCUGUCCAGCUUGCCAUGUCACUUCAAGAAAUGCUUUGGAUCAAUGUUUUCGGUAGACAGGAGAUGGACCGAUCAAACGAAACAAUUGUCCCUGGCUUGUGCCUCUGUUCCUGCAAAUGAGGCCAGAAAUGCUUAUUAACAUCUAAGGAGCUUGUGGAGCUGUAUAGAGAAGAGCCAGUGAGCAGGAGACCUCUUCUUCAUUUUAUUCAUCUGGAUGCCAUCAUAGAGCAAUAACUGUGAGAGGUGUGCUCCCUGAGUUGUUGUUUGAAAGGAAGUCUUCUUCCUCUGCCUCCACUAGCCAGUGUCAAAAAGUGACACAGCCUGCAAAGAUCCAUCACUUCUCCCCAGAAGGUUAUCUCUGUCUGCUGCUGGGACCCCAAGGCCCUCAAGAAGAUUUUGGAAUUUUGGUGAACAAUCUUUGCCUUCAUAUAUAUAUAUGAUAUUUGUAGAAAUGCCUUUCAUUCUUCUGGCUUUGGGCACGAUCUGGUGUUACUGCUGUCACCCUCUAUUACCUGAUAUAAACAUAUUGAGACCAUUUAUUUUAUCAAAUAGAAUGCCUACAGACACUGCAGGUUGUUUGCCUCAUGCCUGGCAAGCCUCCAACAGCCAACACAUGUCUUGCUUGUUUUCCAGGAACCUUCCUCAAACAAAAUUAAUUGUUGCUUAGUGGACUUUUGUCAUCAAGCCAAAAGUAUAGGGUUCAGAACCAAUUAAUGAUUAGAAAUAAACAGCCAUUGUACUGUUUUUUGGCACUUCCUGGUUGCCACAGUAUGGAGUCAUGGAUUUCCCACACUUCCUAGCCCAGCACAUAUUUUUUCUUGUUGUGCUGAUGGGUUGAUGAUUGGACUAGAUGAUCUUUUCCAACCUUAAUGAUUCUAUGAUUCUAUAAAUACGUUAGCCCCAUCUUUUUUUUUUUCCUGAAAUGAUUAAAAAAUAAAGACUUGUAAGC
ensembl:lncRNA